UUUGCACGGGGGGAGUUCCUACGGGAGGCAGCAGUCGAGAAUCAUUCGCAAUGGGCGAAAGCCUGACGAUGCGACGCUGUGGGAGUGAAGAAGGCCUUAGGGUCGUAAAGCUCUUUCGCCUGGGAACAAGAUGAGCUGGCUAACAUCCAGCGAUUUGAGCGUACCAGAAAAGAAGCAAGAAGUCA
rnacentral:rRNA from 1 species